GGGAGCUUGGCUCAGUUGGAAGAGCGCAGGUCUCAUAUGUUCACAUAUGAUCUGGUUGAUCACAAACAUCAGAGUCAUCCUGAGGUCGUGAGUUCGAGCCUCACAGUUCCCA